rnacentral:lncRNA from 1 species
GAAUGCACAAAUAUUUGAAACUAGGCAUAUAGAGGACCUUUUUUAGAGUGAACUUAGGGCUAAGGAUCACUUCACCAAUUUAUGUCACCUUUACUUUAUAUCCGUUAGUAGUGAUACUAGAAAGGGAUAAACUAAAGUUCUAAUAUUGGUUAGUAGGAAUUUUUUUAUAGGUCAUAUGGUUUGUAGCUCCGGAAUCAAGGAUCUGAGAAUCAAUAUUUGGUUCAGAAUACUCAUAUAAUUGUUAAUUACACUCAAAAGAAGCAGAGCAUGCCCCAAUACAUGAGAAGUCACAUUUCCAGAUGACAUCUCCAGACAUCUCCUGCAUUUCCGUACUGAGUCUGAAAAUUCUUCAGCAACCUCAAUAACUGAUCAUAUUGCUCUUUGCUGGGAUUAUGUAUGCUUCGAUUCUGAUAUUGGAAAUCACAUUUAUUUUUCUUCCAUAUUUAUCCCAUCAUGUUGAGUAUCAAAAAUAUUUGAUGCAGUCCCCUUGCCUUUAUUGGCUAUGUUGGACAUUUGUUGAUUGUUGAACUUGUUGUUUUUGUUGUUGAGCAUCCGUUUAUUGAAUUUGUUGUUAUUGUUACUUUACGGAUAUCCAUAAAGUUUGUUUGGAAAUAUUAUUGCCUGCACCACUCACAUUUAGUGAAGUAAACUCUAAUACAAAUUUAUUCUGAGAACUUACUUUCCUCUGCUUUUCUUCUUGAAUAAGGAUUGAGAAGGCAUGUGCUUGCUAGGCAAUGUAUUCAUCAUCAAAAUGAUGUCUUGCACCACUGUAUUCACCUUGUUCAAUCCCAUGAGGAAUUGAAUUAGUCUCAUAUCUUGUUCUUCUUUGUGCAUAUUUGCUUUGGCUUCAUAAGUGCACUGACACUUACAUUCAAUAAGUGCAUUUAGGUUAUUUAAUUCUUCUCAUAGUUUUUUUAAUUUUAUUUUUAUUUUUGUGUAGUAUUCAGUAAUAUCUAGAGCUCCUUGGCUUAAAUUGUUGAUUUUCCUUUGAAGCCAAUAGAGCUUCGCACCGUUAGUUUGAUCAUACAUGUCCUCCAAUUCCUCCUAGAGUUCUUUAGUGCCACUGACAUAUUGCAAGCUAUAUCCUUUGAAAGUGAGUUCAAAAUCCAUGAUGUGACCAUAUCAUCGCAACGCUCCCAUUGUUCAAAGGUCGGAGCGUUAGAAUUCGGCUUUUGUAUUUUCAUGUGAUGAAACUUACUUUAUUUUUCACAAAAAGAGCCCUCAGUACUCCUCUUAUCCAAGAUCUGUAUCCAGUUCCGCCAAACGGUACCGGCAUCAACAUAGACCCAACACUCUCAAACGGAUGCAUGUAAAGGGAAUUAGUCGAAUCCAAGACAUCGUCUUCUUAAGACAUGAUUCAAGCAGAGAAUUAAAGAGACAGAUGUAAAUUUGCAAUCAAAAUAGCAGAAAUACUAAAUUUGGGAAGAACCCUAAUUUCUCACCACAAAUCUUCAGUCAAACAAAUUAGAAUGAAAUAACAUUGAGAAACUGCGAGAGUGAGGUUGAGAUCGAAGCCUCAGCCCCGAUACCAUGUAAAAUCAAAGUAGUAGUAUGAGUUGAGCUCAGAAGGAGCUUCAAUGAAGGAACAUAUGUGUGAACCUAGAAAGAGAAAAGUGGAGGAAAAGCUUCCCGAUUAUGAGAGAAUGAAAAUUAUCUUAUUGAUUAAUAUAUUUACACGUGUAUUUAUACAAAAUAACUAAUAGCUAAUCAUUUCUCUAAUGCUAACUAACUAAUGCUAAUAUCACUAACUAAAAAUCCU